UAUCAAUAAGCGGAGGAAAAGAAACCAACAGGGAUUGCCCCAGUAACGGCGAGUGAAGCGGCAACAGCUCAAAUUUGAAAUCUGGCCCCCAGGGCCCGAGUUGUAAUUUGCAGAGGAUGCUUUUGGCGAGGUGCCUUCCGAGUUCCCUGGAACGGGACGCCAUAGAGGGUGAGAGCCCCGUCUGGUUGGAUACCGAGCCUCUGUAAAGCUCCUUCGACGAGUCGAGUAGUUUGGGAAUGCUGCUCUAAAUGGGAGGUAUAUGUCUUCUAAAGCUAAAUACCGGCCAGAGACCGAUAGCGCACAAGUAGAGUGAUCGAAAGAUGAAAAGCACUUUGAAAAGAGGGUUAAACAGUACGUGAAAUUGUUGAAAGGGAAGCGCUUGUGACCAGACUUGGGCCCGGUGAAUCAUCCAGCGUUCUCGCUGGUGCACUUUGCCGGGCCCAGGCCAGCAUCAGUUUGCCUCGGGGGAUAAAGGCUCUGGGAAUGUGGCUCCUCCGGGAGUGUUAUAGCCCGUUGCACAAUGCCCUGGGGCGGACUGAGGUUCGCGCAUCUGCAAGGAUGCUGGCGUAAUGGUCAUCAGCGGCCCGUCUUGAAACACGGACCAAGGAGUCGUCUUCGUAUGCGAGUGUUCGGGUGUAAAACCCCUACGCGGAAUGAAAGUGAACGCAGGUGAGAGCUUCGGCGCAUCAUCGACCGAUCCUGAUGUUCUCGGAUGGAUUUGAGUAAGAGCAUACGGGGCCGGACCCGAAAGAAGGUGAACUAUGCCUGUAUAGGGUGAAGCCAGAGGAAACUCUGGUGGAGGCUCGCAGCGGUUCUGACGUGCAAAUCGAUCGUCAAAUAUGGGCAUGGGGGCGAAAGACUAAUCGAACCUUCUAGUA
rnacentral:rRNA from 1 species